UACAUAUCAAUCUCUUUUCCAAUUUUAGCUUUCUAAUUUAUGAUAUUUAAGAAUAAUACAAAGCAAACAGAUUCAAAUACCUAGCUGUAUAGUAAAUUAAUCUUUUUCCCGUAUUAACGUGGAAUAUAAGCGUUAAAUUAAUGGCCAUAAAAUGACAUAAUUUUAAAAAAAAAGUAGUUGUCGCAUUGAGAGUAUUGAUUAAGAUUUAACUUUAGACAUAGAUUUAAAUCGUUUAACAGAUGGCUGAACUAUUUAUUAUAGACAGGGUAGAGUGUGUUUGUUUACUUUUCAAUACCAUAUACGGAUUCCUACUCUUCUAAACAGUUAAAAGAGUGUGUUACAUUCUACCUGAUCAAAGCUUUUUUUGUGUGCGAUUCCAGUGGAAAUUUAAGCUGAUAACAGACCAUGGGUGAUGCAUCAAUUGACAUGGAACAUCGUGAUCCAAACGACCUAAACUAUCACGUGAAGACAAACUUUUCAGAGGUCAUUGGAGAACCCGAUGGAGGUCAUAGCGCCGAUUGCGUAUGGGUGAAUUCAAACAAAUGUUUCUUUAUUGGAAAGAAUAUUUGCUAUAAAAUUCUCACUUUUAUAUGUGCCAUUCCCAUGGCAUUUUGUUGGGGUUGCCAAUUCGCUUGCCUUACUUUCUGUCACAUCUGGCACGUUACACCGUGUUAUAGAGUAUUUGCUGUCAACCUCUCUUGCGCUGCCAAAUUCUGGUCAGCAAUGAUACACUGUUACUGCGAUCCAUGUUACGAGGCUAUGGCUUUGAGUAUGACGAAAAUCUUUUUCAACCAUGUCCAAAAUGCAAAACCAUUUGAUGAGAAAACUUACGAAGGCUUCGAAGAGUUCCAGAAGAGAGGGAAAGAAAAGAAAUACGGAGAAGAUCCUGCCGAUCAUUACUCUAAUGCUUAGACUUUUUUUAAAAUUAGUGUUUGUUUAGAGUUAACAGGCAAUCUUACAAAAAAGUGUACUUACAUGCGGCCUCUCUUGUGUCUUAUAAGAAAGUAGCAUUUAGUUAUGUAUAUUACGUAAUAGAUGGCAUUGCUGUUAAAGAUUAUAAAACGUUUGCCUUUUCUCUAUGUAAUAAACUCUUUUUUUGUUUGUAAAAGUUCACUAUGAAAAGUAUUUAUCGCUUGCUCUUGUCUUAAUUAAUACGAUAACACGAACAGAUUUUCCUACACAAUGAUGUAUUUAUAUUAGAUUUAUAAUGUAGUUUUGAGAUGAGAAGAAAGGAGUAUAGUCAAAUCUUUGUCCACCUUCGUUCCAUCCUUCAAAGAUUUCUUUAAUGUUUAUUUUUUAAUGCGUAAAUAUAGAUAAAAAACUGCUUAAAAUCAUUAUCAUUAACCGCAAAAUUGGUAAAUAUUUUGCUUUAUAAGUAAUUCUUUAUUAAUGUCGAACAAGGGGACAGAGAGAGAGAGAGAAAAGCAGAGGGGAUAGAGGGGAUUUUUAAGAUGAAGUCAGGGGGGAAGGAAUUGGAAAAUAACUAUCUAUAUGCAAAAAAUUACGAAAUAAUCUACAUUAAAUGAAGAUGUAAAAAUAAGCAGGAAG
rnacentral:misc_RNA from 1 species